AGCAAGAUCUCCAGUUGGAAUUAGGUCUGUAGGCCAGAUGUGGGAAACGCAAAAACAGCAAACAGCCUAAGCCAUGCUCGUUCCUUUCUCUCCUAGAGGCGUGAAAUAAAAUAUUUUGAAAUUGGUCCUUGGAGCACCUCAAAUCGCGUCUCUCCAACUAUUCCAAUUACCGAUCACUUUUCCACAAAACAUUGUGAGGACCAUUUUCAGAAGAUCGAAACUUGCUAGCAUGUUAUCACUGUAAGAAACGACAUCAUUAAUUUUCCUCUGUGGUAAAACUAGACCGAGCCUUGAGUGUACGAAUCCAUAUUUACAGUUGGGAGGCAGCUACUCUCGUCGACACGGGUUGUUUUCCUAGCCUGCUGCCAACAUCGGAGGGACUCUCAUUUUGAACUUGUCUGUGCACAGCAUCAAGUGUGCUCCUGGAAGAGAGGCAACAGCGAGGAAAUCCUAAAAGACCGAGUCCUAGUCUCAGAAGAAAUCGCCUGCAAGGUUGAGAGACAGAAAGAAAAUCCCUGGAGACUCCACGUCUAACCCAGGCUAAAGGCAAAGCUCUACAGCGGUGUGUAGGAUAUCUCUCUCGUUCGCUACAGCCCUUGCCACCGAAGUACCAGACGCUUUUAGUGUGUGAAAGACCAGGCGUUGAUUUAAUGUAUCUGGAAGGGAGAGGGGAUAGAGGAUGCAACUUAAUAAAUAUUCCUCUAGUCUCGCUCAUGAAAACAUCCAAAACAUCUUUCGGCGUUUGCAUUUAAUGACUGCAACGUGAACGAUGGAGGCGAGAAGCAGUCGAGGGAAUGGCUCGUUUCUCUUAGUGUUGGCUCGGAAUUGUCAAACAGUUACUUUCUGUUCAUUGUAGGGAAAUAGGUCACACUUUGAGUGAAAAGGACAGUUGGUUCAAGCCAAUAACCCUUUGUUCAAGUGCUGUUUGACAGUCCCUGAGCAGAACAUCGUUGCGUGAAGUUUCAUCUCCUGUCCAGUACCUUUAGAUACAUUAUUAAAUCCCAAAGUCAUAUUCCACGGAGCGCCUGGAAGGAAUAUUUCGUCGAAACGCGUCUUGCCAACCAACGUGUUAGCACCCGUAAGGAAGCCUGCUGGACUGGCCCGAGAACCCGGCCGCCAGGAUGGACACGAAUCCCUCAUUAGCAGUUCCAACUUGAAAAGUCAACUGGGCUGGUCCAACACCACCAUCCAGGAGAUUCCCAAAGGCUCAAAAGUGGGUGUCUAUGCAUAAAGAAGACAGCAACAUGAAGCUGAGAUUGAUUCCCAUUGGUACUGAAUCAGAACUCAUAGAAACAAGUAAAUCUCCUUGGAAAUUAUCACCUAUCAGGUCACCAUCACACCAAGGCACUCGAAGAGACAUUGACGGCGAAAAGGAAUUGAACUCAAUGGGAAAGCACGGCACCAUGAAGGAGCCACCAUGCAAGGGCAGCAAGUGAAUCCAGGGGAGGUCUGUCUCCAAGAAGACGAGCAAGGAAGGCCGAAAUGCUCAUUUGUAAAGGAAGUAUUUGAAAUGUCACCCUCCCCCUUUUUUUCUAAACUGUUUUCUUGGGAAGCCUUCUUAUAGAAACUUAAGAAAAGAUGACUGGGAAUUUAUAUUGUUGAUAUGGGCACACCACGUCAAGGACCCCAAUGCCUCAGACCUCUGCAAAUGAUAAAGCUUCCAUGGGUCAGGUUUGGAGAAAUGGCAAAGCCUUCCACUCUCCCGAGUACCAGUAUUGACAACUGAUUGCUCUUUAGUUAAUGCCAGUGUAGAGUUAGCACCCACCAGAACCAUGGCUUCCUCCUGCUGCAUAUUUACAACUUAAGACUGUUCCCCUAUGAAGACUUCCCACUCAGACAAGCUAACCCCUCAGUGGUGGUUUGAAUGAGAAUGACCCCUGUACAAUCAUACAGUUGAAUGCCCCCCCCCCCCACCCAGUUGGCGAAUCUGUUUGGGAAGGAUUAGGAGGUGUAGACUUGGAGGAGGUGUGUUACUGGAGGUGGUCUUUGAGGUUUAAGAAGCCCCCACCAUUUCCAAGUAGAAUCUCUCUCUGCCUAGUGCUUGUGAAUCAGAUAUAAACUCUCAACUGCUUCUACAGUGCCUACCUGCCUGUUUUCAUGUUUCCUGCCCUGAUAGUCAUGGACUCACCCUCUGAAACUGUAAGCAAAUUCUCAAUAAAAUACCUUCUUCUAUAAGUUGCCUUGGUCAUGGUGUCUCCUCACAGCAAUAGAGCAGUAACUAAGACACUCUUUUUCUUGUGCUAUAUAAAAUAAACACUUGUUGUUUGGGGGUUGUAUAGUAAGUGGCUUCCAUCAAAGUGAGCACACCCCAGGUGAUUCCAGCUUUUCUCUAUGAGACUCUGUCAUUUCUCGUGACAUUUUCUUAUGAUAUCUCAUAUUGCCCCAGCUAGCUUUCUGGGAUGAAGCCAUGCAGCUUAUGGGCUGCUCUUGAGAGCACAGUUGUAGGAGAACCUGAUGAAUUCAUGGAGUGUUAUCUUUUUCAUCCAGCAAGUCUACUGUUCUCAUGAGAAAGGCGUUCUUCCUUGAACACCUCAUCAGGGUCUUAGUCAGGGGAGUCAGCAGUGUGGUAUUAAUUGUAAACAACAGUUAGAGAAAUUUGCAUUUUUGAAAGUCCCAUCCUUCUCACAGAAAAUCCAGAUGGGAUGAUGUGUUCUCUUCAGACCCCUCCCCCCUCGGGUUUUUUUUUUUUCCUGAGUGUUAAUUAAAAAUCUUGUUAACAACAAUGUGUGAAUAAUGUGUUUACCGCUGAAUUUCUUUGGGCAGUGGUUUGCUAUGUAUAUGCAAAUUUUAUUUUUGCACGUUUGCUUUUCCUCCAAUUUCGAAUAAAAUUGUUGAAAAGAUAA